GUUUCUUCAAGAAUAAAUCAGUGGCACUUGAAGUUACAUUAAGGUUACAUCUCUCCCAGAUUGUGUGGAAAAGACCAGACGGUCAUCAGGGAAGAAUCCCGACUCAGUGGUUCUGGACCCAAGGAAGCAAGAUUAUUCCAAGGUGUGAAACAAAGGAAAACGGAAUCCCCACUCUGUGGAAAUAAUGUGGUCUUUAUUUGACCUGGAUGUAGCUGGGGUGAAAUCAAGAAAGGAAUUCCACAGAUAUGUUCUUUUUUUGGCGGUAAUUUUGGAAUUCCAGCACUUCACUUUGGAAACGCUACUUGAGACAGGAGGAAAAAAGUCUGUCUUCCAUUUUGGUUGAAGAAAAAUGAACACAUUUCUACAAGAAACCAGGGUAGAAAAAUUGAUUAAUGAUUCACCACAACAUCCACUCCUCCCUUUUUUGCCCAGUGGCAAAUUUGUGAUAUUAAAGGGGUUUGUUUGUUUUUUUGAGACAGAAUCACUCUGUCACCCAAGCUAGAGUAUACAGAAUCUGGCUUCAGCCUAGCUCACAGCACCCUCAAACUCUUGGACUCAAGAGAUCCACUUGCUGGCCAGGCAUGGUGGCUCAUGCUGUUAAUCCUAGCACUCUAGGGGGCCGAGGCAGCUGGAUUGCUUGAAUUCAGGAGUUGGAGAACAGCCUGAAAAAGAGCGAGACUCCAUCUCUAAAAAUGAGUGGUUGUUGUGGGAAGCACCUAUAGUCCCUGCUACUCGGGAGGCUGAGGCAGGAGGAUCUCUUGAGCCCAAGAGUUUGAGGUUGCUGUGAGCUAUGAUGUCACAGCACUUUACGAAGGGCAACAGAAUGAGACUCUCUCUGAAAAAAAAAAAAUAGCUAUUUGAAAUUUCCUUUGAAUAUAGCCAAAACAGAGUUGCCUCCUGAAUUACCAGGUAAAUUUAGGGUGUACUAUAUAUGACAAAUAGUGCUGUCACGUUUUCUACUUGAAAACUAAUUGUGCCAACUUUAUUUUUGAAAUC